CAGUAGCCACGGUAAUACGAACCGUGCGAAUGUUAUUCGGAAUCACUGGGCUUAAAGCGCGUGUAGGCGGAUGGGAGCGUCGGCCUCUGAAAUCCCCCGGCUCAACCGGGGAAGUGGAGCCGAAACGACCCGUCUGGAGGGACGUAGGGGGACCUGGAACUUCCGGUGGAGCGGUGAAAUGCGUUGAGAUCGGAAGGAACGCCCGUGGCGAAAGCGAGGUCCUGGACGUCUGCUGACGCUGAGACGCGAAAGCGUGGGGAGCGAACAGGAUUAGAUACCCGAGUAGUCCCUGUCUCUUAUA
rnacentral:rRNA from 1 species